AACGCGAAGAACCUUACCAGGUCUUGACAUCCAGAGAACUUUCCAGAGAUGGAUUGGUGCCUUCGGGAACUCUGAGACAGGUGCUGCAUGGCUGUCGUCAGCUCGUGUCGUGAGAUGUUGGGUUAAGUCCCGUAACGAGCGCAACCCUUGCCCUUGGUUGCCAGCGAGUAAUGUCGGGAACUCUAAGGGGACUGCCGGUGACAAACCGGAGGAAGGUGGGGAUGACGUCAAGUCAGCAUGCCCCUUACACCCUGGGCUACACACGUGCUACAUUGGACGAGACAAUGAGAUGCAAAUCUGCAAAGACUAGCUAAUCUAUAAACUCGUUCUAAGUUCGGAUUGUAGGCUGCAACUCGCCUACAUGAAGGUGGAAUCGCUAGUAAUCGCUGGUCAGCUAUACAGUGGUGAAUUCGUUCCCGGGUCUUGUACACACCG
rnacentral:rRNA from 1 species